rnacentral:snRNA from 1 species
UUUAGAGGCUUAUGGUUUAGGCC